AUGCAAAUACUUGAAUCCAGCAGGCCAAUAAUGAAAUGUGAACACUUUCUAAGUCUAAUUCUACACUUCCAGGUUGACAUCAGUACGCAGAAACAGGCUCUAGGAAAAAUUUCUAAGUUCACAGCCUAUGUGUGUGAGUGUGUGUGUGCGCGCGUGUGUGUGUGUUGAAACAGAAUGUGUGUGCACGUGCGUGUACGUGCACACUUUCUGUGUUCGUGUGUUAAGUGCGUGAAGGAUUUAACUGUGGGUUUUCCCUUUUUUCAGUAUGUGCGCUUUUUUUUUUUUUUGGCGCAUUGGUCAAACGUUUGUUAUUAUUAAUUAGCUUCUAACUUUGCACUGAGUGUCCCUGCCCUUCCUUUAGCUAAUCCUAUACAUUAAAGAAAAUUCAUAGGACAGGGCCGGUGACAAUUCAUGUGUAAAUGUUUACUCAAGGACUCUGUUAUUGCGUUUAAAAAUUACAGUGUAUAUCUCUGGAGAAAUAAUAUGUAUACCUACCUUUAGCAGCUUUUUAUUGUGGACUCAUGCAAGAAAAUUAUUACCAGAGUAUUGCACCAUUUUUCCAUUUGGAAUAUAAAGUUAAAGAGAAAAACUCUUGCUGAACUGUGGCCAUAGAUACUUGCUUGUAGAGGAUGGAUGGUUCCGCGGGAGGAGCGGAGACAAGCACUUGGACGUGGGUUGUGACUGCUUCGGAGGGGCCCGGGGUUAGGGCUCCCACCUGUUUACAGACCUUUUUUUUCUCCUUCAGACUUUAAAAAAAUUUUAAAAAGGAAUUAAAAAAAAAAAAAAGACUUCCGUCGUAAAGAAAACUAUUUUCAGAAUGCAGACCCGCUACUUCAGAGCUCUGGGAUUGAACAGUGUUGUUUCCCCUCGGCCAUCGUCAUGGACUCUGUCGACUGUCCCUUCUUCGAGGUGACGAGUUGUGGUCACUGUCUUGCACACGCGGGUGCGCUCUCAGGAAAGCCAGGGUUCCCGAGGGGCGGCUCCACACCAUUUCAUGUAUUUUGUAACCCAACUCCUAGCACUGAAGAUGUUAUUAAAAAACAAACAAAAAUAAAAAAGAAAGAAAAAAAAAGAAAAUAGAAAAAAAAAAAACACAAAGAAGAAAGAUACCUAAUCUCUAACGUGUAGCAGUUACGUAUGUACCAAAUAAUGGACUCAAAGGAGAUAGAUGUUCGAAGAGUGCUUUAUAUAUUAAAAAUCGCUUUAUGUUUUAAAAAUGAUCAAUGUUUUGAUUGUUUGGCAAGAAAGAAAGACAAUGGAGUAACAUACCCUCAAGUAUGUUUAAAAAAAAUAUAUGAACAUUGUGCUCCCUGCCUGCCUGAUCAGGAAACUUGUGCAUUACAUUUUUUUUAAUUAGCUUUUUAAUGGUUUUAUCAAAACAAAACAAAACAAAAAAACAUAAAAAACGAAAAAAAAACAAAAAAAAAAAGAAAAAGAAAGUUCCUGCAAAAUUGCAGAUCAACAAAAGCUGGUUUUAUAGAGGAUCACGAACUAUGCACAAACUGGUUCAAGACUUUUUCUCAAGUUCAGUAGUGUAUUUCGCUAAGAAGACCUUCCUCAGAGUAACUGCAUCUCAUUGCCAUUACACGCGCCCUGUGUGCUGGAUGCACACGCCCCCGUGCACCCGCAUCAGACACACGCGCGUGGCCCAGACGUACAGCUUCCCUGCUGCGUUAGCGUCGAGUCGUAGAGACCUCCUGACAUUUUUAAAUUGGGGAUGGAAGUAAAGAGUUUGUUUUGUUUGUUUUUGUUUUUUGUUGGGUUUUUUUUUUUUUGACCUUUUAUUUUGAAUUAAAGAUGUCUGUAACUCUGAGAUUAAAAAAAAAAAAACAAGUUUGUGGCUUUUAAUGUUUCUCCUCAUAGAAUGUGAUUGUCGAAGAACACGCACCGAAAGUUGCUUUCAAAAGUACAACGCUUUGUUGAAUCUCAAUAAACUGCAAUUUUUUUCUUGGC